rnacentral:rRNA from 1 species
UUGAUUUAGUUUAGUGGCGGACGGGUGAGUAACGCGUGAGUAACCUGCCUUCAAGAGGGGGAUAACAUUCUGAAAAGAAUGCUAAUACCGCAUGACAUAUCGGAAUCACAUGAUUUUGAUAUCAAAGAUUUUAUCGCUUGAAGAUGGACUCGCGUCCGAUUAGUUAGUUGGUGAGGUAACGGCUCACCAAGACCGCGAUCGGUAGCCGGACUGAGAGGUUGAACGGCCACAUUGGGACUGAGACACGGCCCAGACUCCUACGGGAGGCAGCAGUGGGGGAUAUUGCGCAAUGGGGGCAACCCUGACGCAGCAACGCCGCGUGAAGGAUGAAGGUUUUCGGAUUGUAAACUUCUUUUAUUAAGGACGAAAAAUGACGGUACUUAAUGAAUAAGCUCCGGCUGACUACGUGCCAGCAGCCGCGGUAAUACGUAGGGAGCAAGCGUUGUCCGGAUUUACUGGGUGUAAAGGGUGCGUAGGCGGCUUUGCAAGUCAGAUGUGAAAUCUAUGGGCUCAACCCAUAAACUGCAUUUGAAACUGUAGAGCUUGAGUGAAGUAGAGGCAGGCGGAAUUCCCCGUGUAGCGGUGAAAUGCGUAGAGAUGGGGAGGAACACCAGUGGCGAAGGCGGCCUGCUGGGCUUUAACUGACGCUGAGGCGCGAAAGCGUGGGUAGCAAACAGGAUUAGAUACCCUGGUAGUCCACGCUGUAAACGAUGAUUACUAGGUGUGGGGGGUCUGACCCCUUCCGUGCCGGAGUUAACACAAUAAGUAAU